GUUGCCGCUAUAACAACAAAUACUAAAAACAGAAUAAUAUAAAUAUUUAAGUGGGGCUCCCAUACAACAAACGUGAUUUUUUUGCGUUUUUUAGGGUUCCGUAGUCAACUAGGAACCCUUGUAGUUUCGCCAUGCCCGUCUGUCCGUCCGUUCUCGGCUUUGCUCCGUGAUCGUUAGUGCUAGAAAGCUGCAAUUUGGCAUGGAUACAUAAAUCGUACAUGGCGACAGAACAGUAAAA